GUGGGAAUUUUGCACAAUGGGCGAAAGCCUGAUGCAGCGACGCCGCGUGAGGGAUGAAGGCCUUCGGGUCGUAAACCUCUGUUGAUAGGGAAGAACCAAAUGACGGUACCUAUCGAGGAAGCCUCGGCUAACUCCGUGCCAGCAGCCGCGGCAAGACGGAGGAGGCAAGCGUUGUCCGGAUUGACUGGGCGUAAAGCGCGUGUAGGCGGGAUCUUAAGUCGACGGUGAAAUCCUCUGGCUCAACCAGGGAACUGCCGCCGAAACUGAGAUUCUUGAGGGCAGGAGAGGAGAGUGGAAUUGCUGGUGUAGCGGUGAAAUGCGUAGAGAUCAGCAAGAACACCCGUGGCGAAGGCGGCUCUCUGGACUGCUCCUGACGCUGAGACGCGAAAGCCAGGGGAGCGAACGGG
rnacentral:rRNA from 1 species